UGUGUGUGUGUGUGUGUGUGUAUCUAUAUAUAUAUAUAUAUAUAUAUAUAUAGAUACACACACACACACACACACA